GCCUGAGAGGGUGAACGGCCACAUUGGGACUGAGACACGGCCCAAACUCCUACGGGAGGCAGCAGUGGGGAAUAUUGCACAAUGGGGGAAACCCUGAUGCAGCGACGCCGCGUGAAGGAUGAAGUAUUUCGGUAUGUAAACUUCUAUCAGCAGGGAAGAAAAUGACGGUACCUGACUAAGAAGCCCCGGCUAACUACGUGCCAGCAGCCGCGGUAAU
rnacentral:rRNA from 1 species